ACCUGGCACAGGGGGCGCAUGCCUGUAAUCCCAGCUACUUGGGAGGUUGAGGCAGGAGGAUCUCAAGUUGGAAGACAGCCUUGGCAACUGAACAAGACCCUGUCUCAA
rnacentral:sRNA from 1 species